AUUGAACGCUGGCGGCAUGCUUUACACAUGCAAGUCGAACGGUAACAGGCCGCAAGGUGCUGACGAGUGGCGAACGGGUGAGGAAUGCAUCGGAACGUGCCCAGUCGUGGGGGAUAACGCAGCGAAAGCUGCGCUAAUACCGCAUACGAUCUCUGGAUGAAAGCGGGGGACCGAAAGGCCUCGCGCGAUUGGAGCGGCCGAUGUCAGAUUAGGUAGUUGGUGGGGUAAAGGCCCACCAAGCCAACGAUCUGUAGCUGGUCUGAGAGGACGACCAGCCACACUGGGACUGAGACGCGGCCCAGACUCCUACGGGAGGCAGCAGUGGGGAAUUUUGGACAAUGGGCGCAAGCCUGAUCCAGCAAUGCCGCGUGCAGGAAGAAGGCCUUCGGGUUGUAAACUGCUUUUGUACGGAACGAAACGGUCCGGGCUAAUACCCUGGGCUAAUGACGGUACCGUAAGAAUAAGCACCGGCUAACUACGUGCCAGCCGCCGCGGUAACAC
rnacentral:rRNA from 1 species